UUUGCGGCCUGGAAUUAUAAACAGAAGUCCCUAGAACUCCAAUCUGAAGUCUCACCCAUGGAGUGGACACACGGCCUGGGACCCUUCCCAAUUGGGGCUCCAGACUGCUGUCACUCGGAACUUCCCAGCGCUGCUUGAAUCUGGAUGUAGGUGCUUCCCCAAUUCGGUUGGCUAUAUCCUUUCACUGACGGUCGCAGCUCCUCUCAAGUUGGCCCUCUCUAUACGAUUCUGCUGGGUUUAGUCUCCACUAAAAGACAAUGCUUGUGAAGGAAGGGAGAGUUUCACUCUCCCAGAACAUGGUGUUGGUCAUACAGAUGUGGUUUACUUGAAUGAAAACAAGAAUUACUGACAUCCAAACUACAGCUUCUAUGAAUCCAAAGUUGAAGAAAUGGGUUGUGGGUUAAUGAGGUUGGGCGUCCUCACCUAUAUGAAGAGGAUAUCCUCACAGUAAAGGAUAUGACAUUUUCACAUCUGGAGAAUAAGAGGGAGAGAAAAUCAAUUUCCCACUAUCAGCCAUCAAAGAUAUUUUUAUGCAAUAUAUUGAUUUAUUUCUGUAUUAUUAACUUUUAAGGUAAAAUUUACAUACAAUUAAAUGUACCAAUUUUGAUAUACAAUUUGGUAAGUUUUAUCAAAUGUACCUACCCAUGAAAUCAACACUCCAACCAAGUUAUAAAACAUCCUCCAAGAAUGUUCUCUAGUGAUCCUUUCCGGUCAGUGGCCACCUCAUUCCCACUGAUAAACUAGUGUUCUAUCACCACAGAUUAGUUUUUCAUAUUCUUGAAAGUAUUAUAAAUAGAAUCAUACAUAAUGUACUCUUUUCUGCCUGGCUUCCUUCAUUCAAUAGAAUAUUUUUGAGAUCCAUCUAGAUUGAUGUGUAUAUCACUAACUCAUUCUUUAUUCCAUGAUUCCCAGGUGAUUCUAAUCUGUAUUUCUAGUUCUAUAAAGUGAAAUGCAUAGAUGCCAAGUACACACACAGGUCAAUGUUUUUUGACAAAUGUAUAUUCCCAUAUAACUGUCACCCAAAUCAAAGACACAGAACAUUUCCAUCACUGCCAAAAAUUCCCUUGUGUUUCUUUCCAGGCAUCCCCACCGCUUUUCACAGGAAAACACUGUUUUAAUUUUUACCACUAUAGACACAU